CUGCGCGUAGCCCAACUGGAUAAGGCACGGAACUUCUAUUUCUGAGAUUGCGGGUUCGAAUCCCGCCGCGCAGUCCA
rnacentral:tRNA from 1 species